rfam:Streptomyces sp. NRRL S-495 contig57.4, whole genome shotgun sequence.
GAGAGCGGUGUGCUGGGAAACUAGCCCGCACCGUUCGGGAAGGGGCCGUCGGAAAAGGACCCGCACCACGGGCACCUCGUCGGCGGCCUACUUCAC